rnacentral:pre_miRNA from 1 species
CAAAUACUCCCUCCGUCCGGAAAUACUUGUCAUCAAAAUGGAUAAAAGGAAAUGUAUCUAGACGUAUUUUAGUUUUAGAUACAUCUCUUUUUAUCCAUUUUGGUGACAAGUAUUUUCGGACGGAGGGAGUAGAAA